UUGUGGCCCCCCAUCUGCGCGCGGUCCGUCCCCUAAAAGGUUCCCCCGAGAAACAUCGACCCCGAACCGCUCGUUCCGGGCAGCCAUGGCGGAGUUGGUGGCGCUUCCCAAAGCAGAGGAGGAAGCCACUGAAAGGGAGGAAGGAGGGGUGACUCCGGCGGAGACCGAGGCCUGGAUGGACCGAGCCCUAGCCAUGGCCAAAGAAGCCUUAGAGAAUGGUGAAGUACCUGUUGGUUGCCUCAUGGUCUUCAAUAAUGAAGUCAUAGGGAAGGGAAAGAAUGAAGUGAAUGAAACUAAAAACGCUACUCGCCAUGCUGAAAUGGUGGCAAUUGAUCAGGCCAGAGAUUGGUGUCAUCAGCAUAAGAAGGAGCUAGAGGAAGUGUUUUUGCACACAGUGUUGUAUGUCACUGUAGAGCCCUGUAUAAUGUGUGCAGCUGCUCUUCGCCUGAUGAAAAUUCCACUGGUUGUGUAUGGUUGCCAAAAUGAACGAUUUGGAGGCUGUGGUUCAGUUUUGGACAUCUCUUCUGCUACCUUAACGGACAUGGGGGAACCAUUUCAGUGCAAAGUUGGUUAUCGAUCUGAAGAAGCAGUGGAAAUGUUGAAAACUUUCUACAGGCAGGAAAAUCCAAAUGCACCCAAAUCAAAAGUUCGAAAAAAGACUGCACUAAGUGAUGAAGUAAGUGAAGUGCAGUAAACUGAAGCUGGACAAGUAAGGAACUGUUCAAACCCCUGGGCAGUAAACUGACCUAUCCCUGAAGGCCACUUAGAGGUGGAGCAAGGUGUUUCUCUUCCUCUCUAUGUUAUCAUAAUCUUCCAGAAGAGGGCCUUGCUGUUCCAAUAAUGAGAGACUCCAGCAGAUUAACACUGAACUCAUUCCUCCUGGUUCUGCAUGCUGAGCAAGUAAACAGGCUAGGAAGUCAUCAAGCUAUGACUUGUGGAUUUCUGUAUUGUGGACGUGUUAUUUCAGUAGUUUGGUGAGACAUGUGCAAACCAGAUUUGGUUUACUAUUUAAUUCCUCUACUAUGUAGAUCUAUGCAUAUUUAAAAAUGAUAAUAUCUUAUUGAUGGUAACACAAUAAAAAUAAUAUUUUUAU